CAAUCAUUCAAAGGCAAAAUACACAUUUCAGAGAUGCCAUUUCACCUGGUGAACGCCUAAUGAUAACUCUUCGCUUCUUGGCAACAGGGGAAUCAUUUCGUAGCCUGCAUUACGCUUUUCGCAUCGGAUGCUCAACUUUAAGCGAACUUAUACCCGAGACAUGUAGAGCCAUCUAUCAGGUUCUCAAAGAAAGACAUCUUAAGGCUGGACCUCUUCCUCCUCCUCUUCCCUUUCUUGUUCUUCCUCUUCUUGCUCCUGCUCUUUAUCAUCACGU